rnacentral:tRNA from 1 species
GAGGGUGUAACUCAGUGGUAGAGUGCUUACCUAGCAUGCAUAAGGCCCUAGGUUUGAUUCUUAGCACACAUU